rnacentral:rRNA from 1 species
UAAUCGGCUAGACUUUAUAAACUUGAACUCUAAUUGAUGUUAGUUUAGGGUUUUGUAAAUAUAUCUUGUUUUUUAGGGUGAAAUCGGGAAUUUUUAUUGAUAAUGCUCUAAUCUUUAAGAUUUGGUGAAUGAAUCAGAUUAGUACCUGAUUAAACAAAAAUUAAAAGAGCAGGAGUAAAGUUGUAUUUAAACUGUAAGAAUAUUGGCAGGUUUUUAAAUUAUCUUUGGAGGUUGAGUAGUAAUUGAGAACCCUCAUUAACAACUUUUACUGUAGGCGCAUGUAUGAUCGUUUAUUUUAUUCUUAAGGAUUGUAAUUUUAGAUUAAUUUAUUUUCUGUAAAAAUAGAUAAAUACUUGGUGUAUGUAAAAGAUUUAAUUUGACCUACAAUAUGCUGUCUUGUGGAUACUUUUUUAGUAGAAGGUUGAAAAUGUAAAAGACAGUAAGUUUUUUUUUAUAUAAAGCUGAAGUUUAUUUAAAAACGGUACAAA